rnacentral:rRNA from 1 species
UACGUAGGUGGCGAGCGUUAUCCGGAUUUACUGGGUGUAAAGGGCGUGUAGGCGGUACAAUAAGUCAGAUGUGAAAUCUCCCGGCUCAACUGAGAGGGUGCAUCUGAAACUGUUGAACUUGAGUACUGGAGGGGAAAGCGGAAUUCCUAGUGUAGCGGUAAAAUGCGUAGAUAUUAGGAGGAACACCGGUGGCGAAGGCGGCUUUCUGGACAGUAACUGACGCUGAGGCGCGAAAGCGUGGGGAGCAAACAGGAUUAGAUACCCGUGUAGUCCCUGA